rnacentral:rRNA from 1 species
UAUCUCUGUAGAGUCUGCAUAUCAAUAAGCGGAGGAAAAGAAACUAACAAGGAUUCCCCUAGUAACGGCGAGUGAAGCGGGAAGAGCUCAAAUUUGAAAUCUUCAAGGUUUUACCUUGACGAAUUGUAGUUUAAAGAAGUGUUUUCGGUUAGAGGAGUGGUAAAAGUUCUUUGGAAUAGGACAUCAUAGAGGGUGAGAAUCCCGUAUUUGACCAGUUACUUUCCAGCUGUGUGAUACACUUUCAAAGAGUCGGAUUGUUUGGGAAUGCAGUCCAAAAUGGGUGGUAAAUUUCAUCUAAAGCUAAAUAUUGGCGAGAGACCGAUAGCGAACAAGUACCGUGAGGGAAAGAUGAAAAGAACUUUGAAAAGAGAGUUAAACAGUACGUGAAAUUGUCAAAAGGGAAGCGUUUGACACCAGUGUUGUUUUCUCGAAAAUCAAUUAAAAAUGGCGGGAUUUUGUGUUGUAUUGACUUUAUCAGCUUUCUGCACUUUUUUCCUGUCUUUUUUAAUGCACUUUUCGUUUAACAAGUCAACAUCAAUUUCUUUUGUUGUAAAAGAGUCAUUGGAAGGUGGCUUUCACUUCGGUGAAAGUGUUUAUAGCCUUUGGCUUCUGCAAUCGGAGAGAUUGAGGUCUGCAGCGUAGAUCCUUCGGGGCUAGAUACGUAGAUGCUAAGUUAUAGUUUUUUAUAGACAACUUGUUGACUAUGAUUAAUCAUGUAGCUUACUCGUUUGCGCUAUUUUACCUACGCUUAGGAUGUUGAAUCUGUGCGAGACUAC